rnacentral:sRNA from 1 species
AUGUACCACUCGUACACCACGGUUCCUCUGCGCCGUCCGCUCUCACCUGACAACCGUUCGCUACAUUUUUUCAGCC